CAGAUGUAGAGAAGGCCAUUUAAAGAGAUAGAGCUCAUAGGUUGGUUUGGAAGAAAAAGAGAAUAAGAGGAAUGGAAGGAGGGGAGUGGAGCCGCGGCAAGAAAUGGGGUGGAGGAGGAGGAAGAGGAGGAGAAGAGGAUGGGGAGAAAGAAGAUAGGGAAGGCAAGAAGAGAUGAAGGUAGAGGAGGCCACUGUAUAGGGAAAUGAUUUAUGGAUCGCUUGGAGAAGAAGGAUGAGAAGAAAAAAUGGAUGGG
rnacentral:lncRNA from 1 species